AGCGAACGCUGGCGGCAGGCCUAACACAUGCAAGUCGAACGAAGUCUUCGGACUUAGUGGCGGACGGGUGAGUAACACGUGGGAACGUGCCUUUAGGUUCGGAAUAACUCAGGGACACUUGUGCUAAUACCGAAUGUGCCCUUCGGGGGAAAGAUUUAUCGCCUUUAGAGCGGCCCGCGUCUUAUUAGCUAGUUGGUGAGGUAAAGGCUCACCAAGGCGACGAUCAAUAGCUGGUCUGAGAGGAUGAUCAGCCACAUUGGGACUGAGACACGGCCCAAACUCCUACGGGAGGAAGCAGUGGGGAAUCUUGCGCAAUGGGCGAAAGCCUGACGCAGCCAUGCCGCGUGAAUGAUGAAGGUCUUAGGAUUGUAAAAUUCUUUCGCCGGGGACGAUAAUGACGGUACCCGGAGAAGAAGCCCCGGCUAACUUCGUGCCAGCCGCCGCCGUAAUAC
rnacentral:rRNA from 1 species